UGGGGAAUCUUGCGCAAUGGGCGAAAGCCUGACGCAGCAAUGCCGCGUGAAUGAAGAAGGCCUUCGGGUCGUAAAGUUCUUUUAGUAGGGAAGAAAAAAAUGACGGUACCUACAGAAAAAGCCACGGCUAAUCACGUGCCAGCAGCCGCGGUAAUACGUGAGUGGCGAGCGUUAUCCGGAAUUACUGGGCGUAAAGGGCGUGUAGGUGGCUUUAUAAGUCAUAGGUAAAAACACUAAGCUUAACUUAGAUGAGGCCUAUGAAACUAUAAGACUAGAGUAUAGGAUAGGAAGAUGGAAUUAUUACUGUAGCGGUGGAAUGCGUAGAUAGUAAUAGGAAGGCCAAUGACGAAGGUAAUCUUCUGGACUAAUACUGACACUGAGGCGCGAAAGCUAGGGGAGCAAACAGG
rnacentral:rRNA from 1 species